AACACAUGCAAGUCGAACGGAGAAAGAUGAGCUUGCUCAUUUUUCUUAGUGGCGGACGGGUGAGUAACACGUGAGCAACCUGCCUUUCAGAGGGGGAUAACGUUUGGAAACGAACGCUAAUACCGCAUGAAAUAUUCUUGUGGCAUCACAGGGAUAUCAAAGGAGCAAUCCGCUGAGAGAUGGGCUCGCGGCCGAUUAGAUGGUUGGCGGGGUAACGGCCCACCAAGUCGACGAUCGGUAGCCGGACUGAGAGGUUGAACGGCCACAUUGGGACUGAGACACGGCCCAGACUCCUACGGGAGGCAGCAGUGGGGAAUAUUAGGCAAUGGGCGAAAGCCUGACCUAGCGACGCCGCGUGAGGGAAGACGGUCUUCGGAUUGUAAACCUCUGUCUUCAGGGACGAAGAAGAUGACGGUACCUGAAGAGGAAGCCACGGCUAACUACGUGCCAGCAGCCGCGGUAAUACGUAGGUGGCGAGCGUUGUCCGGAAUUACUGGGUGUAAAGGGAGCGUAGGCGGGUACGCAAGUUGAAUGUGAAAACUAACGGCUCAACCGAUAGUUGCGUUCAAAACUGCGGAUCUUGAGUGAAGUAGAGGCAGGCGGAAUUCCUAGUGUAGCGGUAAAAUGCGUAGAUAUUAGGAGGAACACCAGUGGCGAAGGCGGCCUGCUGGGCUUUACUGACGCUGAGGCUCGAAA
rnacentral:rRNA from 1 species